rnacentral:lncRNA from 1 species
AAUGAUCUGUGAAUGUGGCUUUUGUCUAAUGGACACAAUGCAUGCUGGAAACAUGUGUUCCCUUUCAAAGGUGGGAGAGGAAGGAUGACUCAGAGGUGGGGCCCAGAGCCCCAGAGGCUGACUCGCAGGCCCUGAGGCCAAUGGAGGACCUCCUGCUGGUGUUUGCCUGGUGGAUUUCAAAACUGCUUUCAACUGCUGGACGUGGACCCGAGGGCGGGAGCUGCGCUGGAGAUAGAAGCCAGCUGAUGAAGACGGCAGAGCAGUGGGUAGACAGAGACUGAUGAGCUGGGGCUGCCUUCCUGGCCAAGGUCAGCUACCUGGAUGUUUCUAUGACUGAGCAAUAAACGUCCAUCCUGCUUAAUCUUUAUUA